rnacentral:rRNA from 1 species
AGAGGCUUCGGCAAUGGUGGAAACCCUGACCGAGCGACGCCGCGUGAGGGAUGACGCCCUUCGGGGUGUAAACCUCUUUUCUGAGGGAAGCAACCCGUGGCGGUGAACCCUCGUCGCGGCUGACGGUACCUCAGCAAUCAGCUCCGGCUAACUCCGUGCCAGCAGCCGCGGUAACACGGGGGGAGCAAACGUUGUUCGGAAUCACGGGGCGUAAAGGGCGCGUAGGCGGCCGCGUAAGUGGUGUGUGAAAUGCCCUGGCUCAACCAGGGAAUAGCGCUCCAAACUGCGGGGCUUGAGGGCAGUAGAGGAAGCUGGAAUUCCAGGUGUAGCGGUGAAAUGCGUAGAUAUCUGGAGGAACACCGUUGGCGAAGGCGAGCUUCUGGGCUGUCCCUGACGCUGAGGCGCGAAAGCUGGGGGAGCAAAC